AGAAGAAACUGGAAUUUAAAAGGCGAGGCUGCAACUGUUCUCGGGGUAGAGUGGGUUGGUCGCUUUAAAAACCUGGGAACGCGGGGCACCGUUAUUUGAUGCAAACUCGCCUCUCCCGGGGAACCAGGAGUUCCUGGAAGACAGGAGAGGAUGUGUGUCCCACUGUGACUUCCUUCAUCCCAGCCUCCUGCCGAGCUGAAAUCUCUGUUGAUGGAAGAAGCAGUCACAGCAGAGCGCCUGUACGUCGGAGGGUGGUUUAUUGGGGAAGGAGGGCUCUAUGGGAGUGAAGAUAUAUUUGGCAGCACCCAGUCCUUGUGUGUGCAUCCAUCAUCUUGGCAUCUACCCAGACUGUGAGCCCCGUAUUGAGAUGUGCCCUGUCCCUCUCUUUCUCAGCCCUUAACACUGUACCUAGUACAGAGUAGAUAUGAAGUGGGCAUUUAUUGAAUGAGUGCUUUUCUCAGCAACAGUGUAUGAUGAACAGUAUUCAUAUCAUUGUCCAGUUUUUGCAGAUGAACUCAGUGAAAACAAGGUUUGGUGACUUCUCAGAGCUGGGAUUUGAGCCUCAGGCUCUUUGCCCAGCGCUCUGUGGAUGAGCCCCAGACAUUCCCUCUGCGUCCUCUGGGCAGGUCCUUUUUUUCCCCACACACUUAACCAAUCUGUUUGCAGUCAAUCAUUAAUUGACUUGCCUAUGAACUUUUUGAGAGCAGGAACGAGUUUUAUUUUGUACCUAGCACAAGCAUAAACACUUUUUUUUGCCAUCCUUGGUUAUUUUAAAUUUGCAUUUAAAUGAUAAAUGUUGAGGCAAUUAAAAUCAAAUUUUGAUUAAGUAAUAGUUACAGAUGUGCUAAAUUUUUCAAAUUACUCUUAGUAAGCACAGAUUUUUUUUUACUUGUAAGGGUACUGCUUUUGUGAUAGCAUAAAAAAUGGUUUUCUUUUUUAUUUUCAUAGACUGGGAAGGCUUAGUAAUUAUGUUCAUAAGUACUUAUAUACAUCGUUUUCCUAUAAUAGCUUCUGCUUUAUGACGAGUAAUAUUUUAUGAAAUGUUUAUAUCAUAUGAUUAUGACAUGUUUAUAAAAUAAAGUUUUAAAACUCAUUUAGUUGUUAUUAGCCUUAAUUUUUAGGAAUGUUCCUAAAUGUUUUUUAAAUGUUGCCUAAGAGCAGAUGUAAUUGCAGAAUACCAGAUUGCACGUUCCUUACACUUACACAUUAUCCUGUUUAAUCUUCACAAUAAUUAUAUUGUUUUUACAGUUAAAGAAACUGAGACCUUAAACAGAGAGAGGAUGACUUCUGCAAAGACACAUGGCUAACUAGCAAGUUGUGGAAUAUUUAUUAAUAGUUAUUUCUAUUUAUUUUUUCUUUUCUGUCUUUAAGACUUUGAGAGGAAGAAAACGUUCUACCUACCUCCAUGAUUCUGGCAAAGUCAAGCUCUGUCACAGUAGAAGGCUACUUAGAGAGGUCUUUACUUUAUAAACAGCCCUUGUUCUUCCCAGGAAGAGGAAAGAGAAAGAUUGACCUUGUGAUGGAUUAGUUGUACAGGAACACAGUGAGUUCCUGAGCCCCAUGCAGAAUGGCUUUUACCGAGAGUCAUUCCCCUUUAGUUUCUGACCUGGGGUUUCCUGGGUCUUGAAAAGGUGUUAUUUCCAAAUUGUAGUUGGCUCAGCUAUCUUGGUGCAUGAUGGAGAAUUUGAUUAUCUUCUCAAAAAAAAUAAACCUGCUCUCGGUCCCCUGUUUUAUAUGGGUUGCUCAGAAGGAUGUUUUUUAAAUGUUGCCUAUUAGGAGCUCAAUCUUGAGGUUUGGUAAUUGUUUACUAGCCCAGCACCACAUAGUUGUUUUUUCCGUUAAUCGACUUGAGACUGCUAGUCUUUCACUGCCUGUUCACUACAGGUCAGUAAGUGCGCCCCAAAGCCACAGGUUCCUUGGAAAAGUCUCUUUUCUGUGUUUUGCUUUGUAUCCUGCCCUUUAUCUUGGGAAGAGGUGGGAUGCUACUUGGAGGCUUCUGGCCUUUGAGAAGAUCUUGGUACAUUGUCAAGACCGAGGGUCUAAACAAUACUAAAGCCUCUUUGUUCUCCCCUCACAUUUGGCCCCUCCCCUACCCCUCCCUAGUUUAGGUCUUAAUCUUUGUUCCACUGCAGUGGUUUCCUAUCCUUCCUAACCAGUCUCAUACCAACCGCUUCCUUCCCUCCCCUCUCUCCCUCUCUUCCUUUCUUGGCUUGCCUGAGUGUUCUAAAAUAGAGCCAUUCCUAGCCCUCUUUUUUUUUUUUAAUUAAAAUUAUUAGGGUGAUGAUUAAUAAAAUCAAAUAGGUUCGAGUGUACAGUUAAAUAUGUCAUGUAUAUCGCAUUGUGCGUUUACCACCCAAAGUUAAGUUUCCUUCUGUCACCAAAUAAUUGACCCCCUUUAUUUCUGUCUACAUCCCCCUAACUCUCUUUUAUUUGUAAAGUUCUUUAAUGGUUCUGCAUGCAUUGUUUAAGGCUGAAAUGAAAACUCGGAUGCCUAAGGUGGGGCAGUGGGGAGGGAGAAUCUGGCAGGUAAUCUAAAGGAGGUUAGGAAACUGAUGUAAACACCAUUAGUUUGUUAAAUGGUAGUGACACUUGGGGAGUUCACUACCCACUUAAAGAGGCAGCCCCUCGUUAGCCCUAGAAUGUGGCCCUGAGAUGAUGUAUCUUUGGAUUUCUUAACUCAUUUCCUGGUUGCCAAGUGUUGACCUCACGAUAACUUGUGAAUUAGAGUCCUAACCUUACAUCCAAAUAGAUGCCACGAAAUAUCUGGCUUUUAUUAUUUUCAUUUUGCUCUAGUACAUCAGUAGUCUUUGGAAACAAAUGACAUCAUUCUAUUUAUAACAUUGUUUUUAGUAGUGGUAUUGCUAUUUGUAAAAUAUAGUAAUUCUUGAUUGCUGAAAAUGUCAAAUCCUAGAAAACGUAGCAUUCCUACGUGUGAUGUUAACAUUGUUCUGGAAUAGUCAUUAGCCAAAGAUUCAUUGGAUGAAUUCGAUUUAUGUAUACAAUUCUGUUACAUUAGGAUUAGAGACACGUUCUGUUUAGAAAUAACUCCAAGAACGGUUUUUAUGUUUUAUUUUCACAUUGAAAACCAGUCCGUUUUGCUUCAGCCUCAAAGAGUGUGUUUAUGUAAAAUUAAGUUAACGCUGGCAGAGAGCUGCACUUUUUUUUUCUAAACAGGAAAUGGGUUAAGAGAAGCCAGAAACCUGGAUUUGUACAUGUGAAAUCUCUUGACUUUAAAAUGUUGGCAAUUUACAAAUGGCUUUUAAACUAUGCAGGCUAAGGAGCAUCUCUUAAGCAUGGUUCUGGGCUUCAACCGUUUCAUGGUUUUGAGACCUCUGACCAAUAAGAUAAAAUCUAAACUCUUGAGCCAGGGCCAUUGAAAGUCCUUCACAGUGGGUUUUUUCAGCCACCUUGAGAUUAGAACAUCAUUCAGUGGUAGUCUUCCAAUAAAAACAUGGUUGAACUCUAAAGAACUUUGAUUCCUUCUAUUGAGCACACAUUUUCAUCUGUCAUGGAAAGGGAACUUAGUGGCAAGAAACAGGAGCCCAUGUCAAGAGGCCGAAUCCAAAAUAAGUGUGUAGGUGUGUUGGAGUGGGGGGCCUGUAUCUCUUCUAGUUGUUUUUUCCAGAGAAUAAACUUCCUGUCUCCUGCAAGCGUGGGGGAAAGGGCAGUCACUUGUCUGUAUAGGAUGGGGUUAGGAGAUCUGAGAGUCUUGUGACUCCUUACAGAGACUCAGCUGAUAUUCCUGUCUAGUUCCACCCAGGCCUUCCUGGACACCUAUGUCUCCAGUCUCUGAGCCUCUCCAGGGGCAGGGAACCUUGUGUCUCACUAGCAUCCCUCCCUGCAGUGACUUUGUUGUCAGCUGUCAACUUACAUCAUCCAAAAGUAAUGUGACAGUUAUGUCUAGUGGUUGAUGCUGGCUGGCAGCAUGAACACUGACAAGUGGCCUCUCCAUGUGGCUAGGCUUCCUUAUAGCAUGGCAGAAGCAUUCCAAAAGCAAGUGUCACAAGAGAACAGUGGCAUUUCACAUGAUUCACUUCUGUUUGCUUCUUACUUUCAGAAAGGUGGUCCAGGUUCAAGGGGAAGGGAUACAUGCUCCCACCAUUUGAUGGGAAGAGUGUUGUCAUGUUGUAAGAAGAAUAUGUGGGAGGGGAUCUAUUGUGGUGGCCAUCUUUGACAGAACAGACUCUAGGUCACAUGUGUUUGAUUUGUUUUUAAAUGGAAGACAAGAGAGGUCUUUCUAAAACAGAUCUGUUCUUGCCACCUAUUUUUUAAAGUGUCUGGAAGCUCCCGUGGUCUCCUGGUAACUACAGGAUAAGAACAAUGGCUCUGAAUAAACCUGGCCCCAAAUAGCCUUUCUUGUCUCAUAAGCUUUUGUGACUUCUCCCUACAUUCUGGCAAUUCUGAAUUACCCCAUUCCCUGAAUGUACUGUGUGGUAUCCUACUCAUUCUCACACACCUCACUCAUUCUGCUCUCUGCCACCAGGGGCCUCUCCAAGCCCUUCUUCUUUGUAAGGCAACUCCUUCCUCAUGUGUCAAGCUCCAACUCAGAAGUCACCUUCAGGAACACUUCCCUAAUCUGCCUCAGGCACAAUCCAUUCACUGUCAUCAUUUCCCCACAGCCAUUUCUCAUGCUUCUACUACAGAGAAUUAGAGCAUUGUACCUGACUUCUCAAUUUGUGAGCUUUCGCCAGUAAAUAACCAUGAGUCUAGUGCUAAUUACUAUGCCAAGCAUGGUGUCACUGCUAAAAUGGUACCUGAGUAUUACAGUGUUCCAAAGUCCUUUAGCAUUCUCAUAGGCUUACAUACGCAACAUUCAGCCACUUAGUCUCUUCCUAUUCCAAUGGAGUUGACUGAAAAUUUCUAGAACCAGGAAACAACCCUGAUCAUAUUAACCUUCCCCCUCUUCCAGCUAAUUGAUCUUGGAAAUAAAUAUAAUGUUUCUUGAGGUUUCAACAUGAAAUUUGAUUUCUUCGUAGAUGUUUUGGCUAUGACUUAGAUAAUCAGCAUUUCUCUGUAUUAGGAAAGUCGGUAUCAGUCAACUGUUUAUCAGGGUUUCAAUCAGCAGAGUCCAUCUCCUGAAUAACUGGAAAUUAAUAAAUCUUGAAGCUAAGGAGGGUGGUAUAGCAGAGUGGAGAGCACUGUUAAUGUCUUGCCAUAUUCCAGAUUUUCCGUUAACUGAUUGUAGGACUUUUGAUGAGAUCCAACUCCCCAACCUGUUUGCACCAAGGCCAGUCAGGCUGCAAAACUUACUAGGGUGGGUAAAUAUGAGAGGAAGCAAGGGGAAGCACUUCUGUGAGAAAAUGCAUUCACAAAGGCUGCUGAAACACAGAGCUCAGAACUCUCGACUGAAGGCUGGAAUUGGACACUUUAAAUUAUGCAGAUACCACACUUUGUUUAAUGUACAAUAUUAAAUUUACUUAUAAAUUUGAGAUACGGUAUUUAGCAAAUGUUUUAUCGUAAUUUUUCUUCCAAAGAGAGAACUUGUCAAGAAACAUGUUAUACCCUUAAUUAGAAAUUUUAUCCCUAUAGUUGUCCUAAAUAAAGAGGAAAAAGACCUUUCUUUUAAAAUUUUUCACAAAUAAAGGUUAACAUUGACAAGGGACACACCCAGGAAAAUAGCAUUUUUUUUUUUUAAUGUUAUUUAAAAGGCCAUUUUCCUCACUUCUUUUUUGUCAUGCGGGGAUAUGUUUCUGAUCCAGUGUAGCAAAGGAUGGACCCAUAGGAUGAGACAGUGAUAUCUUGAUAACUGUAAAAAUAGAAGACAUUUAUUGAGUAGGGUGAAAGGUUGAUAUUUAGUCAAAUUGCGAUAGUGAAAACUAAUGGUCAUUUUUCACCUUGCUGCAUAAAAUAAGAUUCAGGGUCACACUGAGUGGUAUUGUAGCUGUAUCUUUAAAAGAGCUGUCUAAUCUAUACCUAUAAUAACUUUCAUAAUUAUACAUGUUGGCAUAAUCAAGCCAAUUACUGUAGCGAUCAAGAAGUAAUUUAUUUCCUCAUGUAUGCUGCUCACAACAGGGCAGCUGCAUUACACAUUCAUGAAUUCUAGUGUGAUAUUGUUAGGGGUUGUUAACUACAGGCCACUGGAUUUGAAGGACCAUAUAUUUAUUGGAGCUGGCAAUUCUUUUAAAUUCUGAUCUGCUCAUAUCUGUUACUUAAGAUUUCUAAAGAACAUAUGGCUUAUUGCCUACACUUUACCGGAGGAUAGAUUUUGGGAUACAGCUGUUGAUGAAAGUAUUAGACGCACUUCCCUCUGAGUCCACCUUUGGAGAGAAUGUGAAUUGCACCUUUGAAAGUAAGAUCCCAAUUUUGAAGAGAACUUGUGGUCAGUUAGGGCAAUUUGCACUUGAGUGGGGAAUCCUUAUAUAAACCAGAGUGGUAGUCACUGUUGAAAACAUGCUGUUGGAGAACCUGGGAUAAAACAUGUUAUUUUAAAGCUCUCUAUUUGUACCUCAGCUCCUGGAGAAUUUUGUCAUUUACAAUUUACAUAUACUAAUAAUAGAGUUUUCCCUUAAUUACUACAGUAACCAUUUCUUGAUCAAAUGAAUUUGUGUAGCUUUACCAUGGAUUUUUUACCUUCCCCCCUUGCAAUAUUUUUUGAAGCAUUCAGGAAAUAAAACUGGAGAUAUGUCAUUACA